GACAUCCACAUAUUCCAGAUGGACCGUAUUCUUACCAGAAUUCCUUGGUACAAACCCUGACCCCCAUGGUGAUGGUCUUUGGAGGCAGCAUCUUGGGAAGGGAACCUGGGAAGCACACUUGAGUCACAGCUGGCCUGUGGUUUUUACAUCUCAUCAGGGACCACUCUCUUCACAGCCUUAUCUUCGCUCCUCCCCAUACAGGUGGCAGUUUUCUGAAGUUGCUCAUUGAGACUUCUCAGCAUUCCUACAGAUAUAAUAGAUCCUGUGACAAAGAUUUAAACACAAGUAAGCUAUGGAUGUGAGAGUUGGACUGUGAAGAAGGCUGAGCGCUGAAGAAUCGAUGCUUUUGAACUGUGGUGUUGGAGAAGAUUCUUAAGAGUCCCUUGGACUGCAAGGAGAUCCAACCAGUCCAUUCUGAAGGAGAUCAGCCCUGGGAUUUCUUUGGAAGGAAUGAUGCUGACUGAAGCUGAAACUGCAGUACUUUGGCCACCUCAUGCAAAGAGUUGACUCAUUGGAAAAGACUCUGAUGCUGGGAGGGAUUUGGGGCAGGAGGAGACGGGGACGACAGAGGAUGAGAUGGCUGGAUGGCAUCACUGACUCGAUGGAUGUGAGUCUGAGUGAACUCCGGGAGUUGGUGAUGGACAGGGAGGCCUGGAGUGCUGCGAUUUGUGGGGUCGCAAAGAGUCAGACACGACUGAGCGACUGAACUGAAGCUACCUGGGAGCUUAUCCUGAAAAGCAUUUUUAGGGGCCUAGGCACGUGAGGCAGGGAGAAGAAAGCCAAGAAAAGGGUGCUCUUGAGCAGGUUGCUCAAUCCCUGGUGAAUUCUAAGAAACAGUCUUCAGAAACAUCCCAUCUGAGGGGCCGGAACACUUGCACACGUCUCCUCCAGCCCAUAUGUGUCCUUGCGAGCUGCUCCCGAGGCCGGAGGUUAAGCUCUGUGUCUUGCAGGGGUCAGAAGAAAACCCUCAGGGGAAGGCCCCGAGUCCUUGCUGUGUGCAUGUGUGGGAGAGGGUGCUGAGGCGGGUACGACCAGGGCACCAACUGUGUGUGCUGCUUUAACCUUCUUUUUCUUGUUGUUAGAACAACUCAGCAAAAUAAAAUUCCAGGUUACUAGUG
ensembl:lncRNA